GUCCUCUUCUUUUCUUGAAGAUUCCCCUCAUUUCAGAUACAACCCAUACAAAGCAACGCCGUUAUGAUGCUGUCGUAUCGCCCAAAAUAAGGAUUUAAACAUUUUGUCUUUUGCAGGAGAAAGAAACUACGACGCGUGAGUACCAUCGACAAAAGCGAGCCAGUUUUUGAUCAGCAUCUGGUGCAAAUGCUAUCAAUACAGCAUUUCGAUUUAUCGUCACUUCGUCACGUUGACAUUCAGCACCAUCCUGAGGACCGAAUUUCUAAGUCUCCUGUAGUGGAAGAUGAUAUGGAUUUGUCAGAGAACUGGCAAAAAUUCGAAGAAGACAAAGAAAUGGAUACAAUUAAAAAAAGUAGUGAUUUGGCUUCUGAUGACGAAAUUGAUGAAAAACCGUCACCCGCACAUUCGUCCCAGGAUCAUUUUCAUGAAAAAGUACAGUCUAACCAAACAUCUGAAUCCUCCAACCUUUCAAGUGUAUUCGAUAUUGAAUACCGAAAAACAGAUCUUCCAGAGGAAUCAGAUCUUCUUAAAACUGAAGUUGGCACUUUACCAGUUGAAAGUCAGCAACACUGAAAAAAACCCAUUGGGAGGUCCAGGAGCUCAAAGGCCCGGAUGAAAAUUCAAGGCAUUCAUGAUCAGCUGUUUUCUCAGAUAACAAUAGAUCAUCAUUAUCUGCUGGUGAUGUAUUAGUUUCUAUAAUUGUAAUGGAAGCGGAUGAAAGUUGACUGAUGUGUCUGCUUGAAGAGAUAAGGAUCACAUUUGAUCUAAGAACACAAAGCUUCGCUAGAUUAUUUUGCAAUAUUUAGUGACUGCAUUGCGGAAUAUUUUUCUUUGUGGAAAGACGACUUGAUUUUAAACAGAUAACUACGUUGUGAAGUUAUUGUAACAAUAUUUGAUAAUUUAAAACGCUCGGCGUUUGAUUGUUUAAGACGAACAACUACAGAGUAACUGAUUCAUGUCUAAGAUCACGCGCAGUCAUUCCUCAAUUCAUCUCAGGCCCACCAAGAGUGUUUCUGGGGCAUGGGGCAAAAAAGAAAGAUCGGGCCCUUGACGAUGUCCUUAUAGCUUCGAUUGUAAUUUUGUUUUUAUUUAAAACGAUAUGUUAGGAACUUUUGAUAACUUUUGGGGCUCCCCUCGUCUCGGGGUCUGGUACAAUCUGCCAUCAUGCCCUCUCUUGGCGGGCCCGGUUCAGCUACACAGCAAAGUAUAUUUGUCGCUGCUGGCUGCGUACAAAAAUUUUCUGCACGUAGCUUGGAAUUACUUGAAAAAAGCUGAUUUGGUUUGCGAUUUAGAAAUUAGCGAUUUAGAAAUAAUCAUUAGCAAUUUAGAAAUAUUUCAUUACUUGAGGGAAGGCUCAAUUUUGAUUUUUUAGAGUAUUUUGCGGUCUACGUCUAUCUUAUAGAGCUAGGCUUUGUUCCAGGCACUCCAAUCAAAGUUGCGAAAUGGUUAACUUGCUACUAUAUCUAACGAUGCUAUCAUGAUAUUGUAUUAUCGAAAUAUGUAUGCAGUUAUCUUACGCAAACUCAUGCCAACGAGCUGUUCGUACAAAAAAUUAAGAAGAAUAUUAGAUUUCGUUUUAGAUUUAUAAAGAUUUCACAUAUUUUGACUCAAAAUUGCCGCCUGCUUUUGAUUAUAUGGAUAUAAAGGAUGAUAUAAUCCCUUUGUAAGCAUGUUCACUUCAGUGUGAAGAAUCUUUUCAUUCAUUAUGAUAUUUCUCACAAAACCAAUUCAAAUUAUACUUAAAUUGGCAUGCACCCUUUGUUGUGGGCAGAAAAGUUUCAGCAUUUUCUGACCCCCAAAGCUAACGCUAGACAACGUACCUCAAGCCAAUCAUUCGUUUAAUUGGAAUAAAAUGAUUUGUAAUUGUUAAUUCUAAAUGACAGAUGUUGAGUAUUUGUUAAAUUGUGUCUUUAUUCAUCACUUUGCCUAAUUCUUGUAGCUCGACAACAAAAGCCUAAUUGUAUUCUAGACAAUCUGUAAUUUACCAGCGCUUGAAAUCUGUUUUUGCGAUUAUUUAUAGAAAUCGGUUGAAACUUUUUACUUGAAUGGAGAAUAGAAAGAAUGCCUAUGA